CCUUAUUAUCUGGUUAAUGGACACUCGCCACUAACCAGUUGCCGGAGAAGAAGCAACUUCAAACCUUCCUUGUGCAAGAGAGGGAGGCGUUUCAAUGUUGUUUGUCAUCUGAAAAGAAACAACUUCGAUUUUAAAGAGAGAAGGAUGUUGGCAGUGUUGUCAUUAAUGCUUGGCGGAGGGCGAUCGUUGAUGGCAACGUAUGGUAGUUGACAGUGUUUAUGCAAGUGGUGGUGGUAGAGUAAUGAUAUAUUCUUUUCAAACUCAUCUUUUUCGUGGAUUUCAGAUAAGUUGUCAUCUUUUAUGAUUCAUGUAUAUAUAUAUUUUUUUGAUGUUUUCUUCUAAAGUAUGAGAUAAUAUAUGUAUGUAUUAAACUAUAAAUGAGUUGUUUAUACACUAGAAUAUGAGAUUAUAAUUCUAAAUAAAUUGUGAAUUUAUUGUAUUAAAUUGUGAAUUUGUUGUAUUAGGCUAUAAAUUCAUUUGCGGCUUAGUAUAAUAAAUUCACAAUUUAAUAGUAAACUCAUUUGUGGCUUAGUAUAAUAAACUAACAUUUAUAUGAACGUAUAAAUGUUAGUUCUAAGUUAAAAAAUAUGGUUGUCCGUAUAUAUUUUUCGUGUAUUAAACUGUGAAUUAUUAUAUUAACCUGCGAUAUUUAUUUAUUAAACAUUCAAGUAAUUGUAUUAAACUGUGCAUUGACUGUAUUAAGUUGUGAACUUUUUAUGAAUUUUGUUCUUGCGUUUGAAUUAUGAGAAGAAAGAAUCAUUAUACACAUAUAUGAUUUUCUUUGAUUUUGACUAAAUUAUAUUAAAUUUAAGUUGUAAAUAUUGUGUAAAUUAAACUUUGAAAAAACAAUCUAAAGGUAUAAAUAUAAGUUUUAAGUUAAGAAUAUGACAUUUUUGUGUAUUAAAUUAUUAAUUUAUCAUAUUAAGCUUUAAAUUUUACAUAUUAAUCGGUAGUUGACUAUAUUAAGUUGUGAAUUGGCUACAUGUUGCUGUGACUUUUUUUUAUAAUUUUUGUAUUAAAAUAUGAAUGAUUUAUGUAAGAAUUUUUGUAUUAACUUAUUGUGAAUAUAUUUAUUUUUUUGUUGUAUAAAUAUGUAAGAAUACAUUAGUUUUUAUAAUUAUUUUGUAUUAAAUUCAAAAUGUGACAAUUAAUCAGUUUAUUAAACUAUAAAUGUAGCAUUUAACAUGUCAUUGCAUGACUUUAUGUACAAAUCUCAUUUGGAAAUAAUAAUUGUUGUGACGAUGACACAGGUGGUUGGAGGCGGUAUGUGGUGGCUAUGGUGGUUAUAGAGUUUUUGUUUCACUUCUCUGAAUUUUAGAAUUAUUGUAAAAUAUGUUGUAUUAAGUUGUGAAUUUUGUAUAUUAAAAUAUAAAAAUAUAUUGUAUAAAGUUGUAUUUUUAUAA